rnacentral:rRNA from 1 species
AUCAGCCUUUUGGGUGUGAUUUUGUGGAGCGUGAGGAGUUAAACGCCUUCAUGCCUGCAUAUUCGUGCACUUUGGGUGUACUUGCCCGUAUGGUUGGUUAACAUCAAUUUUGGUGGUCAAAAAAUGACUGGAGGAAUGUAGCUUCGAUCUUGUAUUGAAGUGUUAUAGCCUUCGGUAGAUGUGAUGAUCGAGAUUGAGGAUUGCAACGGAUACCCUUCGGGGCUACCUGUCUGAUCUCUGAUCGUUGCUCUGGUGCCGAAAGCUUGCUUACGGUUAUCAAAGUCGAUGGUCAAUAGGUUAGAACGGGUUAAAUUCGUUAAGGAUGUUGACGUAAUGGCUUU